UUCUCUUAUUGUUGAUAAUGAGGCGAAUAUCAAGCUCAUUCAAAGGAAAUGUUGUAGCUACCUUUUGUGUGUCUCCCUCAUUCUCCAUGAACUGCACCUUGAAAUCCUUCAUGCAAAUGGUGCUCAUAUUAGGGAGCAUUAUAUCUUCAUGAACAAUACAAAGAUCUAUGAAGGCUCAUGUGAAUAUGCAAGGUCCAUUGCCACAAAAUUCAUGGAAGUUGUAGAUCGUCCAAGAAACUACAUUUCUAAUCUUUGAAGUACCAUUGAAGAGUUGAUGUAUUUAUACCUUUGGUGAUUGACUGAUAGACAAUUUUUUUUAUAGAAUGACACAUGAGACCAAUUAGAUGGUGGUCAUAUGGGACUUUAGACACAAAUUAUCACCACCUUCAUAUUGCAAUAGCUCUUAGAAAACCUAUUAUAGUUCAUUCUUCACUAUUUAGAAAACUGUGAGCAAAAAAAAAAUUCAUGUAUAACUAGUGAUUAUUAUGUACUCAUACAACUCUUUGCUAAUGCAUACAAUGUACAUUUGGAGUA